CAGGGGGGCUUCAUCAGGAAGUGCUGAGGGACAGGAAAUCAGACAGAGAUGGCAGCUGGGCAUCCAGAUGUCUGGCCCCAAGGCUCAGACAAGGGCAGCUAGAUUCCCGCAAGGAGCAAAGAGAUUUUUGACUUUGUCUUCUUUUAUUGACAUUGAGGAGAAGCUUCUGACUCAGGCGAGCCUCACAAUAAGCUGUUUUUCAACUUCAGUAGACCCGGACCUGCUAAGGUGAGGUGUUCUGGAAGGGUCUCUGCUCCUAGCAGUCACUGGCAGCUUGCCCAAAUUGGAGAAGUUUAACAUCUCUUUUCUCUGAGAAGUAAAAUGUGUUUCUUUGGUGGAUGUGAAACCAACAAACCACUGUGGUGCCUCUCUACAUCUGAAGGAUGAGCCAGCCAAGCCAGGGGAACUGACGACCCCACACACGUCUGCACUGCUGUGGCCGUGUUGAACACGGACUCCUUCUUCAGGGCAGCCUUGGGCCAUCGGAGGGCUGCUGUAUGCAGUGACGGCCACCAAGUGUCCUUGGCCAGGGGAGUGAUUUACAGGGACUGAGAUCCUGACUUGUGACCCAGACACGAAUGCAUCCUUGUUCCAUUUUGUUAUUGCUCAACCGUCAUCUGGCCAUCCCCAAAGCCCACCUCUGUGAGAAAGGCCAGUGCUUGUCCUCGUGACACCCCUGAGACCUCGAUGGAGCAAGUCCCAGGGCCCAUCAUACAUUUUUAAAGAAAAUCUUCUUUUGGUGAGAAGAUCAAAGGGCCAGGCAGAAAUGGAAAAGCACUUUCUGGCAUCAGACUUCCUCUGACUUCUCCGGUUGCCACACCACUGAAAGACUGCCCCACAGUGCGAGGGACGUCCACAUCUGCCUGGCUCUCCGAGGGAUGAACAGCCUUCAGUUCAGCUUCCUGUCACACCCCAAAAUCCACCAGGGCUCUGCAGUCAUAGAGCCCUGGAACCCAGAGGUGGAAACUUAAAGGAAUGAGUGCUCUCUCGCUCCAAAACCACAGAUAUCUGGUCCAUAGAGAACCCACCACACUUGUAUACAUUUUCAUACGUCUGCGCACAUACACAAAUGCACAAACACAUGUUCAGCUGUUGAUAAUCAUCUGAUCUUUUGCUCUUUCGAUGUAAAUAUGGCCAGAUAUCUCUGGCUUUAAUUCUCAUUAAAAUUUUGAAAGUUAUACUUUCUAUACAAUAUACAUCAUGGAUGUCCAAUCUUUUGGCUUCCCUGUGCCAGAUUGAAAGAAGAAGAAUUGUCUUGGGGCCUGGCGUGAUGGCUCAUGCCUAUUAAUUCCAACACUUUGGGAGGCGGAGGUGGGAGGAUCACCUGAGAUCAGGAGUUCACGACUAGCCUGGCCAACAUGGUGAAACCCCCCCAUCUCUACUAAAAAUAUAAAAAUUAGCGAAGCAUGGUGGCACAUGCCUGUAAUCCCAGCUAUGCAGGAGGCUGAGGCAGGGGAAUCACUUGAUCCCAGGAAGCAGAGGUUGCAGUGAGCCAAGAUUGCACCAUUGCAUUCCAGCCUGGGCAACAGAGUGAGACCCAGUCUCAAGAAAAAAAAAAAAGAAUUAUCUUGGGCCACACAUACACACAUAAAAUACACUAACACUAAUGAUAGCUAAUGAGCUAAAAAAAAUUUCAAGAAUAUCAUAAUGUUUUAAGAGUUUAUGAAUUUGUGUUGGGCCACAUUCAAAGUCAUUGUGGGCUGCAUGUGGCCCGAGGGCCGCAGGUUGGACAAGCUUGAUAUACAUAUUAUGUAUAUUAUAUAUUUCUGUGAAAACAGAAUAAAUCCAAGACUGAGGAUCUAAUUCCAAAAUUCAUUUUUGUAGGCAUUCUGAGACUUAACUAUUUUUCUAGUCACAUAAUAAGGAAAGGAUCCUUACAGAAAUACUGAAAGCUCUUGGUUCUGCCUUUGCUG
rnacentral:lncRNA from 10 species